CCUUCGACUUUCCUCUAAAGCUAAGAAGUUUGGAUCAACGAGAGAACCGCAAUGGUAAUUGGAGACCGUUAUCAAGAACAUCCAAUUAGUCGGGCACACUUGACACCUCUUUGUAACCAUACAAGCCAGCUAGAAUAUUCAGAAUCUUUUCCAUUGGUAUAAACUGGUAGUACUGGGUACUAUUUUGUACCUCAUUGGUGGGGGCUCCAAGCAGGACAAGCGUCUAUCAUACUGCAUAUCUGUCUAAAGUAAACCACUUUUAGUUAUUUUUUGAUGGCUCAUCAUUGACAUAUUGAGAAUUUGUGGCUAGAAAUAGCAAAAAUAAUAACAUAUGAGGCGGCCCGGUAGUCCAGUGGUUAGCACGUCGGCUUCACACUGCAGAGGUACCGGGUUCGAUUCCAGCUCUGGCCUCCCUGUGUGGAGUUUGCAUGUUCUCCCCGGGCCUGCGUGGGUUUUCUCCGGGUGCUCCGGUUUCCUCCCACAUUCCAAAAACAUGCGUGGCAGGCUGACUGAACACUCUAAAUUGUCCCUAGGUGUGAGUGUGAGUGCGAAUGGUUGUUCGUUUCUGUGUGCCCUGCGAUUGGCUGGCAACCGAUUCAGGGUGUCCCCCGCCUACUGCCCGAAGACAGCUGGGAUAGGCUCCAGCACCCCCCGCGACCCUAGUGAGGAUCAAGCGGCUCGGAAGAUGAAUGAAUGAAUGA